rnacentral:rRNA from 1 species
AGAGUUUGAUUAUGGCUCAGGAUGAACGCUAGCUACAGGCUUAACACAUGCAAGUCGAGGGGCAGCGUGUACAGGUGCUUGCACCAGUAUGACGGCGACCGGCGCACGGGUGAGUAACGCGUAUCCAACCUGCCAUAUACUCGGGGAUAGCCCGGUGAAAACCGAAUUAACCCCCGAUGAGAUUCCUUGCGGACAUCCAACUGGAAUCAAAGUUUCACGGUAUAUGAUGGGGAUGCGUCUGAUUAGCUUGUUGGCGGGGUAACGGCCCACCAAGGCAACGAUCAGUAGGGGUUCUGAGAGGAAGGUCCCCCACAUUGGUACUGAGACACGGACCAAACUCCUACGGGAGGCAGCAGUGAGGAAUAUUGGUCAAUGGGCGAGAGCCUGAACCAGCCAAGUAGCGUGCAGGAUGACGGCCCUAUGGGUUGUAAACUGCUUUUGUAAGGGAACAAAGUGCGGGACGUGUCCCGUUUUGCGUGUACCUUACGAAUAAGGACCGGCUAAUUCCGUGCCAGCAGCCGCGGUAAUGCGGAAGGUCCGGGCGUUAUCCGGAUUUAUUGGGUUUAAAGGGAGCGUAGGCCGAAGGUUAAGCGUGUUGUGAAAUGUAGUCGCUCAACGGGUGCACUGCAGCGCGAACUGGCUUUCUUGAGUGCGCGGAAAGUUGGCGGAAUUCGUUGUGUAGCGGUGAAAUGCUUAGAUAUGACGAAGAACUCCGAUUGCGAAGGCAGCUGACUGUAGCGUAACUGACGCUGAUGCUCGAAAGCGUGGGUAUCGAACAGGAUUAGAUACCCUGGUAGUCCACGCGGUAAACGAUGGAUGCUCGCUGUUUGCCAUAUAUGGUAAGUGGCCAAGCGAAAGCAUUAAGCAUCCCACCUGGGGAGUACGCCGGCAACGGUGAAACUCAAAGGAAUUGACGGGGGCCCGCACAAGCGGAGGAACAUGUGGUUUAAUUCGAUGAUACGCGAGGAACCUUACCCGGGCUCAAACGGCAGGGGAAUGUCCGGGAAACCGGGUAGCCGCAAGGCCGCUGCCGAGGUGCUGCAUGGUUGUCGUCAGCUCGUGCCGUGAGGUGUCGGCUUAAGUGCCAUAACGAGCGCAACCCCCAUCUUCAGUUACUAACGGGUAAAGCCGAGGACUCUGGAGAGACUGCCGGCGCAAGCUGCGAGGAAGGCGGGGAUGACGUCAAAUCAGCACGGCCCUUACGUCCGGGGCGACACACGUGUUACAAUGGCGGGGCACAGAGGGGAGCCAUGCGGCGACGCAGAGCGGAUCUCUUAAAGCCGUUCUCAGUUCGGACUGUAGGCUGCAACUCGCCUACACGAAGCUGGAAUCGCUAGUAAUCGCGGAUCAGCACGCCGCGGUGAAUACGUUCCCGGGCCUUGUACACACCGCCCGUCACACCAUGAGAGUCUGUAACACCCAAAGCCGGUGGGAUAACCUUUAUAGGAGUCAGCCGUCUAAGGUAGGACAGAUGAUUAGGGUGAAGUCGUAACAAGGUAGCCGUA